rnacentral:rRNA from 2 species
GCAGUCGAACGAAGCUUUCUUUCACCGAAUGCUUGCAUUCACCGAAAGAAGCUUAGUGGCGAACGGGUGAGUAACACGUAGGCAACCUGCCCAAAAGAGGGGGAUAACACUUGGAAACAGGUGCUAAUACCGCAUAACCAUGAACACCGCAUGAUGUUCAUGUAAAAGACGGCUUUUGCUGUCACUUUUGGAUGGGCCUGCGGCGUAUUAACUUGUUGGUGGGGUAAUGGCCUACCAAGGUGAUGAUACGUAGCCGAACUGAGAGGUUGAUCGGCCACAUUGGGACUGAGACACGGCCCAAACUCCUACGGGAGGCAGCAGUAGGGAAUCUUCCACAAUGGACGAAAGUCUGAUGGAGCAACGCCGCGUGAAUGAAGAAGGCCUUCGGGUCGUAAAAUUCUGUUGUCAGAGAAGAACGUGCGUGAGAGUAACUGUUCACGUAUUGACGGUAUCUGACCAGAAAGCCACGGCUAACUACGUGCCAGCAGCCGCGGUAAUACGUAGGUGGCGAGCGUUGUCCGGAUUUAUUGGGCGUAAAGGGAACGCAGGCGGUCUUUUAAGUCUGAUGUGAAAGCCUUCGGCUUAACCGAAGUAGUGCAUUGGAAACUGGAAGACUUGAGUGCAGAAGAGGAGAGUGGAACUCCAUGUGUAGCGGUGAA